ensembl:lncRNA
UCCCCAUGAGCUGCAAAAUAUAAAAAAGUGACCUUUAAUCCUUAAUUUUUGUCGUACGUUCUCGCAGCCAAAUCAGGGGAACCAAAAGAUUGUCAACACGGUCAAGGUGGAUCAAGAUGAUCCCCAACAGGGUUCAUGCCCCUAAAUCAGUACACACAAAUAUCGAGUCAACAAUUACCAGGAAGUUCAUUUUAAGUGCAACCACAAAAACAUGUCAAACAAAUGGUUAUUUUUUUCCCAGCUGCACGAGUUGGAAGAAAUACCUUCUGUGGGGGGGGAUCGGAGAUCCUGACACUUCGCAAGACGUUAGCAAGAAGGUAGCAAGACGUUAGCAAGAAGGUAGCAAGACGUUAGCAAGAAGGUAGCCAGACGUUAGCAAGACGUUAGCAAGAAGGUAGCAAGACGUUAGCAAGACGUUAGCAAGAAGGUAGCCAGACGUUAGCAAGACGUUAGCAAGACAUUAGCAAGAAGGUAGCAAGACGUUAGCAAGAAGGUAGCAAGACGUUAGCAAGAAGGUAGCCAGACGUUAGCAAGACGUUAGCAAGACAUUAGCAAGAAG